GCCAGACAUGGUGAUGCACGCCUGUAAGCCCAGCGGCUUGGGUGGCUGGGACUGGAGAAUCGCUGAUGCAAAGCCACCCUCGGCAGUAGCAAGGCACUAAGCAACUCAGUGGGACCCUGUCUCUA
rnacentral:sRNA from 1 species